UACGUAGGCAGCAAGCGUUGUUCGGAAUUACUGGGCGUAAAGAGUGUGUAGGCGGUGCUCCAAGUCUGGUGUGAAAUCUCCCGGCUUAACUGGGAGGGUGCAUUAGAAACUGGAAUGCUAGAGGAUGGGAGAGGUAAGCGGAAUUCCUGGUGUAGCGGUGAAAUGCGUAGAUAUCAGGAGGAACACCUGUGGUGUAGACAGCUUACUGGACCAUAUCUGACGCUGAGACACGAAAGCGUGGGUAGCAAACAGG
rnacentral:rRNA from 1 species